rnacentral:rRNA from 1 species
UACAGAGGGGGCAAGCGUUGUUCGGAAUUACUGGGCGUAAAGCGUACGUAGGCGGCUUUGUAAGUUAGAGGUGAAAGCCCAGAGCUCAACUCUGGAAUUGCCUUUAAGACUGCAUCGCUUGAAUCGUGGAGAGGUUAGUGGAAUUCCGAGUGUAGAGGUGAAAUUCGUAGAUAUUCGGAAGAACACCAGUGGCGAAGGCGACUAACUGGACACGUAUUGACGCUGAGGUACGAAAGCGUGGGGAGCAAACAGG